AAAAUGCGAUACGUAAUGAGAAUUGCAGAAUUCAGUGAAUCAUCAAAUCUUUGAACGCAAAUUGCGCUCUCGGGAUAGGCCUGGGAGCACGCCUCUUUGAGUAUCGUUUCAACCACAACUCGAAAGCGUGCUUUAUUGCAUCGCUGACGGAGAAUGAGCGCUCUCGUGUCUUCGAGACGCUUGAAAUUGAGCGAGUGACUUGACAACUGUUAUUAGGACAGCUGCUUGUCAGUGGUGACGAGGAUAACUUCACAUUCAGUUGUGAACCUUUCCAUCGUGACUGUCUGACCAGUGCAGUCUGAAUCGGUUGUCGACCGGUCACGGCCUGUCUGUGGAACAUCUCCUACGAUUUUCGCAGAACUUUCUUUUGAACUAGAUCUCAAAUGAAGCGAGAAAACCC
rnacentral:misc_RNA from 1 species